rnacentral:rRNA from 1 species
CCUACGGGCGGCAGCAGUGAGGAAUAUUGGUCAAUGGGCUUACGCCUGAACCAGCCAAGUCGCGUGAGGGAAGACUGCCCUAUGGGUUGUAAACCUCUUUUGUCAGGGAGCAAUUGGCGCUACGUGUAGCGUUAUCGAGAGUACCUGAAGAAAAAGCAUCGGCUAACUUCGUGCCAGCAGCCGCGGUAAUACGGAGGAUGCGAGCGUUAUCCGGAUUUAUUGGGUUUAAAGGGUGCGUAGGCGGAAUGCCAAGUCAGCGGUAAAAUCGCGGGGCUCAAUCUCGCUCCGCCGUUGAAACUGGCGAUCUUGAGUGGGCGAGAGGUAUGCGGAAUGCGUGGUGUAGCGGUGAAAUGCGUAGAUAUCACGCAGAACCCCGGUUGCGAAGGCGGCAUGCCGGCUUCCAACUGACGCUGAAGCACGAAAGCGUGGGGAGCGAACAGGAUUAGAUACCCCUGUAGUC